GGGCCGUCUACCUCCAACACAAGACCAGCCAAACGCUCCCGCAGAGAAGCGUACGCCAAGGGCCCGUUGCUGGGCCGAGGUGGAUUCGGCUCGGUGCAUGCUGGGAUACGCAGGUCCGACAGACUGCCAGUCGCCAUCAAGUACGUUUGCAAAAGCAGGGCGCCUGAGACGCUGAACGUGGUGAGUUGAAGGUGAAUCUGUUGUGAAUCUGCAUUCAGCUCUGGAUGUGACGGAUCUUUGGUCUCUGCAGGAAGGUCAGGGUCUGCUGCCGCUGGAGGUGGC